ACUCAAAUGAAUUGACGGGGGCCCGCACAAGCGGUGGAGCAUGUGGUUUAAUUCGACGCAACGCGCAGAACCUUACCAGGGCUUGACAUGGAAAGGACAGAACGAGAGAUCGUUCCUUCUCCGCAAGGGGACCUUUCACACAGGUGCUGCAUGGCUGUCGUCAGCUCGUGUCGUGAGAUGUUGGGUUAAGUCCCGCAACGAGCGCAACCCUCGUUUUUAGUUGCCAUCAUUCAGUUGGGCACUCUAAAGAGACUGCCGCGAAUAACGCGGAGGAAGGUGGGGACGACGUCAAGUCAUCAUGGCCCUUACGUCCUGGGCUACACACGUGCUACAAUGGGCGUCACAACGGGUCGCAAUAGCGUAAGCUGGAGCUAAUCCUUUAAAAGCGCCCUCAGUUCAGAUCGAGGUCUGCAACCCGACCUCGUGAAGGUGGAAUCGCUAGUAAUCGCGGAUCAGAACGCCGCGGUGAAUACGUUCCCGGGCCUUGUACACACCGCCCGU
rnacentral:rRNA from 1 species